AACCCUGGAAAUGGUACAGUUUUCUGGUACGGACCUCUCCGUACGUACGUGGAGACCAUGUUGAGGAUACUGCCUAUGUCGUUUGUGCUAUUCCUUGGUGACAUCUAGCCGUAGUCGUAUCAAUUUUAACGCCAAAGCUUUUUUAAGGGAACGGACGGUAAGUCUACAGGUAUCAAUUAAUCUUUUGUAAGAAUUCCUAGUCAAAAGAAAACAGUAAUCUUGGACCCUUUCAGGCUGGGUCACUUUUAUUGACUUUUGUUCACACUCUCUGCCUUUGGGUUGUACUAAAAAAGUAUUUUGCCUAAUGAAGCGAAAGUAUUUGAUAGUGACAUGGGUCAUUGCAACGUUCCACCACCACCCUGCUGCCGUGAACGAUGGCCAAGGACGAAAAGAGGAGUAGUAGAUACCAGAGGACAAUAGUGGGCAUGACGAUAGAGGUGGGAGAAGAAAACAUAACACGUGCUACCAUCGACUUGUUAGUCUUCCACUAAACAGCGAGUCGUUGACACAACAUUCGGCUCUCUCGCUCGUCUCCGCAAAACUACGCUCACCUAUUGCACGCGUCAUCAGUGAUUGACUGCUGUAUGCAGGAAUAUAUACGGAGUUGUCAGAGAUUUUGAAAGACAACACAAUCGUUAUGACUAAUCAUAGACACACGUGCGGAAUAAUGAAGACGUUGGCCGCCACUUGAACGACGGUUUUUGUCCUCUGGUUCCCGUCAUUAAUAACAGCGGCUGAGCUCUCGGAUGGAAUGGUCUGCACUUUCACGUCGGCCAACUACGCGGUCGGUGACGUCUGGUAUCCGAGACUGGGUCAACACGGGACCCUCCACUGUGUCGCAUGCGUCUGUCAAGAGGGCGGGAAAAUCAAUUGCACUAUCCAAAAUUGCAGCGGUCCCGAAUGCACCGGGUCCGAAUCGUCCGUCGAGAAUCAUUGUUGUGCCCGCUGUUCCAAAGUGGGGCAAGAUGCGAAAUUGCCAACAUCCAUUACAACUCCACCAGCUCCGGCGCAUUCGACUCGCGUUUUGCAGGAAAACGUUCGGGUGUCAUCAUUUUCAUUAUCGGAUUUGAGUAGCAGUUCGACGUCAUCUGGCGUCACAUGCUUACAUAAUGGCAACGUCUACCGUCAAAUUAGCAACUGAAAAUGGAAAAAACAAAACAUUUGACACUACCGUUAAAGGUAAUCUCGGGAGGUCACGUACAACACGGAAUUGAUUUGUACCACCAGAAUUCUGCUGUCCCGCAUCAGGGAUUCGCGUCUAUUAAAAGAGUUUUCGGAUUCCUCGAUUCCUCCUCCGGUAUCCGUAAUAAUAUCGUAAUCCCGCGGAACUCGAAUACGCUGUUCUAUGGCGCCGUUUUAUGGCGUUGUGUAGAUUUGAUGUGGGCUGCUAUCACGCAAUCAUGUAGAAGGAGUACGUAAUUUUCUUCUUCAAAUUAAAGAUCGCUACUUGGGUGCUGAGAAUUCAUUUAAAUAAAAAGACAAAAUGUCACCUCGUGUGUUUGGCCGUUAACCCAAAUGUCAUUUUAAACAAAUUAUUAUUUUUUUUCCUUCUUGAAUUUGAAUCGACAGAAUGCUGAAAUACGUUGAUAUGUGCAUCAACGAAGAUUUAGUUUAUUUAGCCCAUUCAGUGACGUGUAAGAAUCUAAGAUGAUGCCAUUCUUGUGCAAUCUUUCCAAUGCUAAAUCUCAGUGUACAUUCAGCAAAGAAAACAUCAUGCUAUUAACUUGUAUUUAAACUGAAUCUAUACAUCUGAUUUUAUGCAAUUUGUUUCCGAUUUUCAUGAUUGCUGUCGUUUAGGAGUGUAAGAUAAUUGAUUAAGCCACGACGAUACGUGAAAUGGCUGUCAACAGGGGGUUCAUUCCGGCUCCGCAAGCGCCACGGUAAUCGUCCAAA